GCUGGCAGGAUGCUGAGAGGAGAGCAUCCGGUGGAACCCUGGUGUUCAUCUGUCUACUUAUCCAGCAACAAUAGAGGCAAAAUCAUCUAGCCUUGUGAAUUUGUAACAACACCAUCAGAUGGAAAGGUUGGUGGUGGUGAUGAUGAUGAAGAUAGACCUCUCAAUCCUGGACACUGAAGACCUAUCUCCUUUUCCAUGCUGGGAAGUCAAACUCAUUGGCAUGAACAUUUUGGCACUUGAUAUAUCAAGCUCCCCAAAAGGCAUUUGUGACAAGGUCUUACAUUUUUGUAACCCAAUAUUAUGUACAUAAACAUUUAAUAAAUGUUC